AACGAACGCUGGCGGCAGGCUUAACACAUGCAAGUCGAACGCCCCGCAAGGGGAGUGGCAGACGGGUGAGUAACGCGUGGGAAUCUACCCAAUUCUACGGAAUAACCCAGGGAAACUUGGAAUGAUACCGUAUACGCCCUACGGGGGAAAGAUUUAUCGGAAUUGGAUGAGCCCGCGUAAGAUUAGCUAGUUGGUGGGGUAAUGGCCUACCAAGGCGACGAUCUUUAGCUGGUCUGAGAGGAUGAUCAGCCACACUGGGACUGAGACACGGCCCAGACUCCUACGGGAGGCAGCAGUGGGGAAUAUUGGACAAUGGGCGCAAGCCUGAUCCAGCCAUGCCGCGUGAGUGAUGAAGGCCUUAGGGCUGUAAAGCUCUUUCAGUGGGGAAGAUAAUGACGGUACCCACAGAAGAAGCCCCGGCUAACUUCGUGCCAGCCGCCGCAGUAACAC
rnacentral:rRNA from 1 species